rfam:Exophiala spinifera strain CBS 89968 unplaced genomic scaffold supercont1.11, whole genome shotgun sequence.
CACCCAGUCGUCUAGUUGGUUAGGACGCGGUGCUUCGGCACCGAGACGGGAGUUCGACUCUCCCCUGGGUUG